rnacentral:rRNA from 1 species
CCUACGGGAGGCAGCAGUCGGGAAUAUUGGGCAAUGGAGGAAACUCUGACCCAGCAAUACCGCGUGAAGGAUGAAGGUUUUCGGAUUGUAAACUUCUGUUAUAAAGGAAGAAAAAAAUUACGGUACUUUAUAAUUAAGCCCCGGCAAACUAUGUGCCAGCAGCCGCUGGGAUACAUAGGGGGCAAGCGUUGUACGGAAUGACUGGGUGUAAAGGGUGUGGAGGUUGCUUUUUAAGUUAGAGGUGAAAGCCCGUAGCUCAACUUCGGAACUGCCUUUAAAACUGGUUGGCUUGAGUGUGGGAGAGGUUGGUGGAACUCCUGGUGUAGCGGUGGAAUGCGUAGAUAUUAGGAAGAACAUCAGAGGCGAAGGCGACUAACUGGAACAUUACUGACACUGAAACACGAAAGCGUGGGGAGCAAACAGGAUUAGAUACCCGGGUAGUG